rnacentral:lncRNA from 1 species
AAAAUAUAAAAAGUGGUGCACACUUCUAUGAAUGGGGGACAUAGAACAAAGACUCCACACAAAAGAACUAAUCAAUGUUUUUGACCUAAUAAAGUUUUAAGUAAUUGAGUUUUAGAAUAAUUAAUUUGUCUAAUCAGGUUAGGUCAGGUGCAUGGAAUUGACCAGUGUCCGCUAGGCUUCGUUUGGUUCGGGAAUUAGUAGGAACUAGUUAUAUCAGGGAUAGGUAUAAGUAUGAGUUUUUAUAAGAACAAAAAUAUUUUUUUGUUUAGAUAAAAAUAUGAGUAUAAGCUAGAACUAGAAAAAUUGCGUUUGGAUUGUUAUUUGGAAUCAGAGAAAUAGUUGAUGGUUAUAAAUAAAAAAUAAUGAUAUUACCCUAUAAUUGAAUUUAAAUGUUUAAAUUUUAAACUUAUAAUUUUAAAUUGAAAAUUUUAACUUUUAAAAUUUUAAAUUUUAAAUUAAAAUUUUAAAUUUUAAUUUUCAAAAUGUUAAUUUUAAAUAUCAAAUUUUAAAUUUAAGACCAAAUUUAAAUUUGAAAGUUAUAAAAUAUCAAAUUUAAAAUUAAAAAACUAAAAAUAUCAAAUUAAAAAUUUUAAAUUUAAAAAUAUCAAAUUUAAAAUUUAAACUUUAAAAUUUAAUUAUAAAUUAUAAAUUUAAAUUUUGAGAUUAUAAAUUUUAAAA